rnacentral:rRNA from 1 species
AUUGAACGCUGGCGGCAUGCUUUACACAUGCAAGUCGGACGAGUGGAGGACGGGUGAGUAAUUUAUUGGAACGUACCUAGUAAUGGGGGAUAACCAAUCGAAAGAUUGGAUAAUACCGCAUAUUAUUCGAGCGGCCAUUAUCUGUUUAGCUAGUUGGUGGGGUAAAGGCUGACCAAGGCGACGCUCAGUAGCGGGUCUGAGAGGGUGAGCCGCCACACUGGGACUGAGACACGGCCCAGACUCCUACGGGAGGCAGCAGUGGGGAAUUUUCGACAAUGGGCGCAAGCCUGAUCCAGCCAUGCCGCGUGUCUGAAGAAGGCCUUCGGGUUGUAAAGGACUUUUGUUAGGGAAGCGGUACCUAAAGAGUAAGCACCGGCUAACUACGUGCCAGCAGCCGCGGUAAUAC